CCGAUAACGAGAGAGACUUUUAUGUUAUAUUAAAUAAUAUUAUUUUAAAUUUUAUUUACAUAAUAUUUUAUUUUAAUAACAGAUUAAUAGUGUUUAACUAUUUGAGAGAGAGCAAUAACAGGUCUGUGAUGCCCUUAGAUGUCCGGGGCUGCACGCGCGCUACAAUGUAGUGAUCAUUAUGUUCCUGUUUAGAGAUAAAUGGGUAAACAUUUAAAACAUUACGUAACUGGGAGUGAAAAUUGCAAUUAUUUUUCAUGAACGAGGAAUUCCAAGUAAACGUAAGUCAUUAACUUACAUUGAUUACGUCCCUGCCCUUUGUACACACCGCCCGUCGCUGCCCGGAACUGAGCAAUAUCGAGAGGCAGGAAGAGAUACAAAAAAUAUUUAUAUUUUUUUGUGUUAAAUCCUUUCAAUCGCUGUUGUUUGAACCGGGC
rnacentral:rRNA from 1 species